CGGAAGCCGGGUUACGGUG
rnacentral:snRNA from 1 species